AAUAGAUACCAGGUAGUCCACGCCGUAAACGAUGAGUGCUAAGUGUUAGGGGGUUUCCGCCCCUUAGUGCUGCAGCUAACGCAUUAAGCACUCCGCCUGGGGAGUACGGUCGCAAGACUGAAACUCAAAGGAAUUGACGGGGGCCCGCACAAGCGGUGGAGCAUGUGGUUUAAUUCGAAGCAACGCGAAGAACCUUACCAGGUCUUGACAUCCCGCUGACCGGUCUAGAGAUAGACUUUUCCCUUCGGGGACAGCGGUGACAGGUGGUGCAUGGUUGUCGUCAGCUCGUGUCGUGAGAUGUUGGGUUAAGUCCCGCAACGAGCGCAACCCUUGAUCUUAGUUGCCAGCAUUUAGUUGGGCACUCUAAGGUGACUGCCGGUGAUAAACCGGAGGAAGGUGGGGAUGACGUCAAAUCAUCAUGCCCCUUAUGACCUGGGCUACACACGUGCUACAAUGGACGGUACAGAGGGUCGCAACCCCGCGAGGGUGAGCUAAUCCCAUAAAACCGUUCUCAGUUCGGAUUGUAGGCUGCAACUCGCCUA
rnacentral:rRNA from 1 species